UGUCAGUGAACCUGAAGCAGUGGAAG
rnacentral:piRNA from 1 species